UUACCCAUGUCUUUUGAGUACCUUCGUUUCCUCGGCGGGUUCGCCCGCCGAUUGGACAAUUUAAACCAUUUGCAGUUGCAAUCAGCGUCUGAAAAAACAUAAUAGUUACAACUUUCAACAACGGAUCUCUUGGUUCUGGCAUCGAUGAAGAACGCAGCGAAAUGCGAUAAGUAGUGUGAAUUGCAGAAUUCAGUGAAUCAUCGAAUCUUUGAACGCACAUUGCGCCCCUUGGUAUUCCAUGGGGCAUGCCUGUUCGAGCGUCAUUUGUACCUUCAAGCUCUGCUUGGUGUUGGGUGUUUGUCUCGCCUCUGCGUGUAGACUCGCCUCAAAACAAUUGGCAGCCGGCGUAUUGAUUUCGGAGCGCAGUACAUCUCGCGCUUUGCACUCAGAACGACGACGUCCAAAAGU
rnacentral:rRNA from 1 species